GACGAACGCUGGCGGCGUGCUUAACACAUGCAAGUCGAACGAUGAAGCCGGAGCUUGCUCUGGUGAAUUAGUGGCGAACGGGUGAGUAACACGUGAGUAACCUGCCCUUGACUCUGGGAUAACUGCGGGAAACUGUAGCUAAUACCGGAUACGACCCUCGGAGGCAUCUCCUGGGGGUGGAAAGAAUUUCGGUCAAGGAUGGACUCGCGGCCUAUCAGCUAGUUGGUGAGGUAAUGGCUCACCAAGGGGACGACGGGUAGCCGGCCUGAGAGGGUGACCGGCCACACUGGGACUGGGACACGGCCCAGGCUCCUACGGGAGGCAGCAGUGGGGAAUAUUGCAAAAUGGGCGCAAGCCUGAUGCAGCAACGCCGCGUGAGGGAUGACGGCCUUCGGGUUGUAAACCUCUUUUAGUAGGGAAGAAGCGAAAGUGACGGUACCUGCAGAAAAAGCACCGGCUAACUACGUGCCAGCAGCCGCCGUAA
rnacentral:rRNA from 1 species